AUCUCAUUUACUUUAUCUCAUUGAAUACUAACCAAGAUUUAUGAGGCAGGGGUUAUGCGCCCCUUUCCAGCUAAGGAGACCAAAAAUUUAGGAAUUUGGAUCACACUCAGCAGCCCCUGGCGUGUAGUAAGUGAUAAAAAUUACAGAAUAAAAGUGCACUCACAGUCUGUGGCCAUUUCUAUAAAGUCAAAACUAAGUGAAGAAAUGAGAUAAUUAACACAAAAAGCACUUUGCUAUGAUGAGGUUGAGAGUGGAAAUAGAAACAGGUUAUUCUACUUUUUUCUUUUCGUCUUGAAUUAUUUUAGAUGUCUACAUAGAGUGCCUGGAUUCAUCUGCAUUGAAACCCCUUGAGAAUUUUGAUAGGUUGAACCAAAACAGAAUAAUGAAAUGCACCCUUCUAGGCAGGAAGGCAGAAGCAGACAUAAAAGAUGAUUUCUCUCUGUUAUUUGGCCUUUAUGGAAAGGACCAUGAUGAGCUUCUAGAAAAUGCAUUAUUGAUGUGAUGUAAUAAGAGAUGAUAACCUGAGGCACAAAGAGGUUAUAUAACUUCCCCAAAGUCAUACAACCAGAUUUUUGGACCCAAUGAUCUGACACCAGAGCCCUGGCCCUCACUAUACUGAAGGAAUCUACGGCAGCAUUGAAAGGACAGCAGCUACAGGGUGUGUUGCUGGGGAAGACUCAGGACUCUUGAUUCAAACACCAUGUUACUGCUUAGAAGCUGUGUGACCAGGAUCAAGUCAUUAAACUCGAAGAGGAAACACCCACUUUCAGAAUUGUUCAGCAUUCUAAGUGAGAUCAUAACAAGGCUCUGCCCAGUGCCUGGUCCAUCAUUGCCCCCAUGCUGAACCGUGACUGUAAAAAUAACGGAGAAACCUCAGAUGUGUAUAUAACUUGAAAGAGUUUCACAUAAAAGAUGUCUCUUCAGAUAUUCUUGUAGCUUUUUACAAGAACUUGGUAGACCCCACUUCAUUCCAGUAGACAAGAUUCUAAGGCUCAGGGAGAGCACCUUACAGGAGAAAUCUAUUAAUUCAGUGGAAUCGGCCCAAGUAUUCUGCAUCAGCUAGCCAAUACAGAAUCCAGGUAAGCCCUCCUGUUCAUGAGGAGUGGGAAAGCUUGGCUGCAUGGGGGCCAGAGCAUGGGGAACUGAGUGCCAGGGCUUUGGAAACCAUGGCAAGCAAGAUCUCCAUGCGUGGCAGAGAGUGAGCUGCAACGCCAGCAGACUUGUCAGCCCUCAACAUGGAGGCUCCAACGUGAAGAAGCCACAGACCAAAAGACCUCUUUGGGGGUCACCCAUAAACAUUCUCAUCCACUCAUAUGAUCGUGGAGGGGGUGAUGGACCUAUAUAAUCAACCGAGAUUGGAUCUCCAGCCAACUCAAUGAAGAAAUAAAGAAGUGAAAUUACUUUCCUGGAAUCAUCCUGUUUUAAGUUAUUGGUUUAUAAUGAUCUGGACCUGAAUAUUCCAGCUACUAAUACUGCCUCCUGGGGUUAUGCAUAUAAUAAGGGGUCAGAUCAGGGCAGUUCAUUAGAAAUAUAAUGGAAGCUGCUAAUGAGAACCAUGUGUAUAAUCUUACUUUUCCUAGUAGUCGUGUUAAAAAUGUAAAA